UUGAGUUGUGAGAAUCAAGAGGGUGGAAUUUACGUCGUGUUUCAUUUUAAAAACUUAGCAGGGUGCCUGGAAUUUAAUUGCUUAAUAACUAUUGUUUUAGAAUGAUUCAUUCGUUUUAAUACUUCGAGGGUGGAAAUUGUCUGGGAUGUGAAAGAGGCUUGAAAACAUUUGCUCUUCGAGUGGAUAGCUCUAUUCAAUCCUUUACACACACUUUGUUAUGAAGAAAGGACUCACCCAUGAGUCUGAGUAAACAAACAGCAGAAUUUGGGGAUGAUGCUGAAAAGCAACCAAUCAAUCAUACAUACACACUGGCACUCUCAAUUCCAUGAUUUUAGCAAAACCCUUUAAAUUUUAAAAUAACGUGUUUCUACUCAAUGCUGUUUCAUGCCCUCAUUCUCAACCCGGUUUUCACAGUGAUUCUCAAUCUAUAUCACAAAUUCUUACCACAGGUACAGACUUUUUUGCCCAACUGAAAAGGUGUAUUAUUUUAGCACCGUGAAAAUAAAUGUUCUCAGCAGGCCUUGUCACAAACUCUUAUAUUAGGGCAAAACUUACGGUGAAGAGGUGAGAUGCCCAAGGCUAGUGAAAUCCCAAGCAUGCAUGCAUGUAAAUGAGCAAGAGCAGGAUGAUAAACUAUCCUUCUCCCAAAGGAUCACAAUGCUAGGUAAUGAUCAACAUGGGUGUUUAACUUGUAUAGGGAUCCGAUGUUUGGAAACGUUGCUAUACUGCGGUAGUUGCCCUAUAAAUAUUGCAGACCUUAGUGUUUUCUUCUGUAGUUUUUAUUGAUAUCAUUGACAUAUAACAUCAUAUUAGUUUCAGGUGUAUACAACAGGAUUUGACUGUAAGUAUAUACUGCGAAACGAUUACCACAAGAAGUUAAAACAGUUUGAGUCUUUUAAUUCCCUAUGGUUAGUAGUGAAGUCAAGGACUAGUGUCAAGGUAUCAUUUAAGGAGGUAAAAGUAUUGUUCUUGUUCAACUAAUAACUCUGCUUUGGAAAUAUCGACCUGUUGGGGAGUCUGUGCUCAUAAAACAAAUGUUUGGUUCAGUAAUCAUUUCGCUAAAUAUCACAGCAAUUUUCAGGGUUUCUUUCCAAAACAUCACGGAUUAUUAGGUAGUUGGUGCUACGUGGUGCCGUUUAUAUUUUUGUCAGGUAAUACAGUGUGAUAUAGCAAUGGAUAACAACCUUAGGUAUUUAUUUUAAGUGGGUCAUAGGAUGCUUUGAGAUGAGGAUAUAACAAUUUCUUAAAAGCUGUUUAUCAACAAGACUGCAGUAGAAAUUACUAUUUAGAUCUAUAGUGCUCACUCAUUUAAAGAAAAAGAAAACAUUAUGACAAAUAAACCUGGGAAGAAUAUGUUUACUACCACUGGCAAAAAAGAAUAACCAUUUAUUAAAGUAGAUACAGAACACUCGUUUGCUCAAAUUUUAAUACUGCUUUACAUUUUGUUUGUGAAACACUUCCUAUUAUAAUGUUUAUAACCAAAAAUUUUAACUAAUUACAGAUUUUUCACUUGUCAGACACACAUUUGAUAAUCUUGAGGGAAAAAAUACAUCAAAGGCAUAUAUACAAUUAUAGAAGUUCUUACUAUACAUGUAGCACGGAAGAUACAUUACUUUUUACAUAUUGUAGAAGACAUUCAAGUGAGAUAAAUAGAUUCAAACUGGUUGAUAAACUUCUGAUGGUUGAGGUCCUUCAUUUUAUUUUUUUGUGAUAAGAAAAUCCAAAAUUAUCAAUGUUGAAUUUCUCAUCGUACAUUCAUCUAAAAACAGUUUUAAAAAAAACUUGUAAAGGUUGUAGAUUGGUUAAUUUAGGUGUUUUAAUAGUGGCUUAUUAUCUAAUUGACUGCUGGGGAUAUCUGCUGAAGAAGGAAAAAGAUUUAGAGAAAAUUCUCCCAGGUAUUUAUAUCUGAUAAAGAAACAAAAUGAAAAUGGAAAAAAAAACUAGUUGCAAAGCCACGUGAUAUCACUUCGGGCCUAGUCCAUUAUGUCCUGGUGUGUUUUCUUUUUCAUAAAGGUAAAAAUCUGAAAAGAAAGACAUUGUAUUUUGUCCCAAAAUAUAGAUUUUUAAAAAAUAUAUACAUAUAAUAUAUAGAAGCUGAAAUUAUGCAAAAACCAAUAAACAAAACACCACAGUAGAGUAAGUAGGUGCAGCAUAUAGAUUAUAAAAUGUCCCCACAGCAGUUUGGGGGCUUCCCCCUCCUGUUACCUGUUUCAUGAUUUUAUAAUCACACCUAAGUAUUAUCAAGCCUGAAAUAAAGGCACUACUGACAUCAGGUAGUGCAAAGAG